AUGAUCCAGGAACCUGCCUCU
rnacentral:miRNA from 4 species